GCUGGGUGUUGUUGGGCACACCUGUAAUCCCAGCAGCUCAGGAGGCUGAGGCAGGAGGAUUGUGAGUUCAAAGCCAGCCUCAGCAAAAACAAGGCGCUAAACAACAUAGCGAGACCCUGUCUUUC
rnacentral:sRNA from 1 species